rnacentral:rRNA from 1 species
UACGGAGGAUGCAAGCGUUAUCCGGAUUUAUUGGGUUUAAAGGGUGCGUAGGCGGGAAAAUAAGUCAGUGGUGAAAUCCUACAGCUUAACUGUAGAAUUGCCGUUGAUACUGUUUUCCUUGAGCAUGGUCAAGGAAGGCGGAAUGUGUAAUGUAGCGGUGAAAUGCUUAAAUAUUACACAGAACACCAAUUGCGAAGGCAGCUUUCUGGCCCAUUACUGACGCUGAGGCACGAAAGCGUGGGGAGUCGAACAGGAUUAGAUACCCUGGUA